GCUGGUUUGGUUCAGUGGAUUGAACGUCAGCCUGUGAACUGGAGUCCCGGGUUCGAUUCCAGGCACGGGCA
rnacentral:tRNA from 1 species